GGCGAUGUAGCCAAGUGGUUACGGCGAUUGAUUCGAAGUCAACUCCUUUUGAGGGCGUAGGUUCAAAUCCUGCUAUCGUCG
rnacentral:tRNA from 1 species